GACGAACGCUGGCGGCGUGCCUAAUACAUGCAAGUUGAGCGAUGAAGAUUGGUGCUUGCUCCAAUUUGAAGAGCAGAGAAUGGGUGAGUAACGCGUGGGGAAUCUGUCUUUGAGCGGGGGACAACAUUUGGAAACGAAUGCUAAUACCGCAUAACAACUUUAAACAUAAGUUUUAAGUUUGAAAGAUGCAAUUGCAUCACUCAAAGAUGAUCCCGCGUUGUAUUAGCUAGUUGGUGAGGUAAAGGCUCACCAAGGCGAUGAUACAUAGCCGACCUGAGAGGGGGGUCGGCCACAUUGGGACUGAGACAAGGCCCAAAAUCCUACGGGAGGAAGCAGUAGGGAAACUUAGGCAAGGGACGAAAGGCUGAACGAGCAACGCCGCGGGGGUGAAGAAGGGUUUCGGAUCGGAAAACUCUGUUGGUAGAGAAGAACGUUGGUGGGAGUGGAAAGCUCAUCAAGUGACGGUAACUACCCAGAAAGGGACGGCUAACUACGUG
rnacentral:rRNA from 1 species